CGGUCAGGCCAUGAGUCGGUACACGAGAAGCCAAACGAUGGCAUUGAUCGGGGACACACGGUGGGCAUAGUUGGGAUAAGAACGCAAACACGACGUCCCCCUCUCGUCGUUCGGGUUUGCGUUAGACGGCGUGCUUGCGCCAACGGUUGGUCUAGGCCAUUUGGGUCCCGUUGGGUUGGCUUUGAGUUGAUGGGUGAUUUCUUGAUCGAUAUCCGAUGUGCGAUUGAUUGGACGUUUUGCUAGCAACCAAACGUCUGUACGAUAUAGAUCAACAAGUGUGCAUUAAGGCAUCGGUUACGAGCUAACGAGCGACUUGUUGAUCUACAUCGUGCUGUGCGAUUGAUUGUCUAAGCUCGGUUAGCAACCAAGCAUUGGUAUGAUAUGGAUCAAGACGUGUGCAUCGACACAUGUUGGUUUCGUUGUUUUUUUUUUUGGUACUUUCGCAUCGUUCAGUGCAUUUUGGGGACUGUUUUGGCUUUUGGUUGCUUGCUUGGCUUUUUGCCGAGUGGGUGGCUUCUAGUUGGGCGGUUUUCGGGAAUGUCUACUGGGAAGGUGCAUGAGUGGUGUUUGGUUUGUUACGGGUGGUUGGCUGUUUGCUUGCGCAACAACGUCCAUGCGUGCAUACCUCUUCAGUUUUGCGGCAAGGCUUUGAUUGUCUUGAUCGUAUUGGGGGUUUCUUGUGUUGCAUACCUAAUUGAUGGUAAUGUGUUGGUUUUAUGAUGUCCCUUUUCGUCAUGCGUCGCUCAUGUGGUGUGGGAUGAACAAUGAAACGAUCUUUGUGAUCCACAUUGUUGUUGCAUUAGCAACAAUGAUGUGGCCUAUGAAGCAUCGUUUGGUCUCUUGUAUACGGAACCUGAUGUGGGCAUGGGUCUUGUAAGAUCCUCAAUUUGCCCUUGUUAAGCGUUCUCGCUUCUCCAAAACGAUUGUCUGCCAUGUCUUGGCUUGUCCUUACAUGGUAGGNUACGUCGA
rnacentral:misc_RNA from 1 species